UGGGGAAUUUUGGACAAUGGGCGAAAGCCUGAUCCAGCAAUGCCGCGUGUGUGAAGAAGGCCUUCGGGUUGUAAAGCACUUUUGUCCGGAAAGAAAUCCUUGGCUCUAAUACAGUCGGGGGAUGACGGUACCGGAAGAAUAAGCACCGGCUAACUACGUGCCAGCAGCCGCGGUAAUACGUAGGGUGCAAGCGUUAAUCGGAAUUACUGGGCGUAAAGCGUGCGCAGGCGGUUUGCUAAGACCGAUGUGAAAUCCCCGGGCUCAACCUGGGAACUGCAUUGGUGACUGGCAGGCUAGAGUAUGGCAGAGGGGGGUAGAAUUCCACUGUAGCAGUGAAAUGCGUAGAGAUGUGGAGGAAUACCGAUGGCGAAGGCAGCCCCCUGGGCCAAUACUGACGCUCAUGCACGAAAGCGUGGGGAGCAAACAGGAUUAGAUACCCUGGUAGUCCACGCCCUAAACGAUGUCAACUAGUUGUUGGGGAUUCAUUUCCUUAGUAACGUAGCUAACGCGUGAAGUUGACCGCCUGGGGAGUACGGUCGCAAGAUUAAAACUCAAAUGAAUUGACGGGGUCAU
rnacentral:rRNA from 1 species